GGCGUGCCUAAUACAUGCAAGUCGAGCGAGCUUGCCUAUAGAAAAUUCUUCGGAAUGGACAUAGAUAACAAGCUAGCGGCGGAUGGGUGAAGUAAACGCGUGGGUAACCUGCCCUUAAGUCUGGGGAUACCCAUUUGGAAACAGAUGCUAAUACCGGAUAAAAGCUACUUCGCGUGAAAGAAGUUUAAAGGCGGGCGUAAAGCUGUCGCUAAAAGGGAUGGGACCUGCGAUGCAUUAGCUAGUUGGUAAGGGUAACGGGCUUUACCAAGGCGAUGAUGCAUAGCCCGAGUUGAGAGACUGAUCGGGCCACAUUGGGGACUGAGACACGGGCCCAAAACUCCUACGGGGAGGCAGCAGUAGGGAAUCUUCCACAAUGGACGAAAGUCUGAUGGAGCAACGCCGCGUGAGUGAAGAAGGUUUUCGGAUCGUAAAAGCUCUGUUGUUGGUGAAGAAGGAUAGAGGUAGUAACUGGCCUUUAUUUGACGGUAAUCAACCAGAAGUCACGGCUAACUACGUGCCAGCAGCCGCGGUAAU
rnacentral:rRNA from 1 species